rnacentral:rRNA from 1 species
GAUGAACGCUGGCGGCGUGCCUAAUACAUGCAAGUCGAUCGAGAGGUACUUGUACCUCUAGAGGCGAACGGGUGAGUAACACGUAGGUCAUCUGCCCCAAGGUUUGGGAUACCCAAGCGAAAGUUUGGCUAAUACCGGAUAUGAAGAAAUUUAAAAGCUCCGAAUGGAGCGCCAUGGGAUGAGCCUGCGGCGCAUUAGCUAGUUGGUGAGAUAAAAGCCCACCAAGGCGAUGAUGCGUAGCCGACCUGAGAGGGUGAACGGCCACAUUGGAACUGAGACACGGUCCAG